GAUGAACGCUAGCGGCAGGCUUAAUACAUGCAAGUCGUGGGGCAGCAUGAGUAGCAAUACUUGAUGGCGACCGGCAAACGGGUGCGGAACACGUACACAACCUUCCGAUAAGUGGGGAAUAGCCCAGAGAAAUUUGGAUUAAUACCCCGUAACAUAUAGAGUAGGCAUCUUCUUUAUAUUAUAGCUUCGGCGCUUAUUGAUGGGUGUGCGUCUGAUUAGGUAGUUGGCGGGGUAACGGCCCACCAAGCCUACGGUCAGUAGCUGAUGUGAGAGCAUGAUCAGCCACACGGGCACUGAGACACGGGCCCGACUCCUACGGGAGGCAGCAGUAAGGAAUAUUGGACAAUGGGCGAAAGCUUGAUCCAGCCAUGCCGCGUGAAGGAUUAAGGUCCUCUGGAUUGUAAACUUCUUUUAUUUGGGACGAAAAAAGGGAAUUCUUUCCCACUUGACGGUACCAAGUGAAUAAGCACCGGCUAACUCCGUGCCAGCAGCCGCGGUAAUAC
rnacentral:rRNA from 1 species